AGGUCAUGUACUUUUAGUCAAGAUCUUUGUGAGUGCAUAUUAUAUUUUUCGUUUUAAACGAGGAAAUUGGUGUUAUAUUGCAUACUUUUUCUUGGACAUUUAUAAAAUACAGUAAGUAAACCACUUAUUUUAUCGUUUCUUGUGUUUAAAAGCGUCCCUGGUUGUGGUAGUGCAUUUUUGCGCCUCGGUGUAAAUGUACCAAUUUCCAAUUAUGUACCUUCCAACUUACUACUAAAAUUUUGAUAUUUUUCAUCGAUGCAUUUGAAUAUUGUACACGUAUUUGUUUCCUUAUCACGUGUUCACUUACUUUAGCAAAGCUUGUAGUUUGAAAAAUGUUAUUUUUUAGCGUAAAAUUCAGAAAGUAACGGCCUCGGUUUACUUUCGGUUUCCUCGUCACCGGAGAUGCCUCGCCGAGCCAGACAGUAAGGUUUUGGCUUUGGAGGAAAUUAAUUUCCUGCCCAAAAAGAUCUUGUGAUUAUGGAAAUCUGCAUUGUAAAAAAACUGCAAAUAAUUUCUGAAGAAUUUCCUUCGAAGACUUUCUGAGGAAUUUGAAGAUCAAUAUUGACCAUGCAUGGCUUUAUUUUUUAAUCAAUGUAUAUAAAAUAACUUGCUAAAACAGCUUCUGUCUCGCCGCCCUUCUAUGCUGUGGUAUUUGCUUGUAUAUUUACCAAAUACAAAAAUUGCAGACAUCAUUUAAAAGAGUGAGCAAGCUGUACCCGCAAAUAUAAAGAUUAGAAUAGCAAGUUUUUGUUUGCUAGACGGCCAUCUUGAUCGUCAUGCAUUGAAUCGAAAAUUGCUUGGAGUGAUGGUUGCAUUACAAUAAGAGCGUUGCAAAAACCAAUUUGAUACACCGCUCACCACUUCGAAGAGCACGAACAGCUGCACCACCAGUUUGUUGCAGAAAUUGAGACGAUAACUGCAACAUUUCAUAUAUGUAAACAGAAGCCCUAUCUGGUAUGGUUUUGGCGUUGGAUGCAAAGUGUCUGAUAUAAUGUAAAUGUGGCCUUAAUUUGCUGACCAUCUGCAGAGCUGCAUGCAUUUAAGGGAGCCCAUCCAGUCUUAUUGAAGUUAUGUAUUAGCAUUACAUAUGAAAUAUAUAGCUCAGCAUUGAAGCCUGCCAUUUGCAGGCUAACAUGCGCUUUGAAUGUGCACACAGCCUGCAAAUUGCAGGCUUCAACACUGAGCUAUGUAUUUCAUAUGUAAUGCUAAUCCAUAACUUUAAUAAGACCAGUGGGAUGGGCUCCCUCUGUGCCUGAGUGUGCCUGCAUGCAGGUGUGGAUCAUUUCACAGAAUAGACAUGCAUGGGUAUUCUGUGGUCAUUAAGUUACAUUUGUGAAACUCAAUAAUUGAUGAAGAAAACACAAAAGAAAUUAUGAGCGUGAAGGAGUUUGUAUAUCUGAUACAGAAUCAUGCUGAUUUACAUAAACUUUAAGUUUAAUUUUCUCACCAAAUAUCAUUAAUUUAUUUUAAAUUGUUGAAGACUACAAAUUAAUGUUCUGAUCGAGACGUUUCGCAAGCUAUCCUGUACCGAAAAUCAUGGCGUGACAUGAGCAAUAUUCGGGCCAUAAAAUCGAGCGAGACAUGAGCGAUAAUGAGCGUGACGAUACACAGCGAUACACGGCAUGUCUCAAACGUGACAUUUUCGAGCGAGACAUUGGGCGAGACAUGAGCGAUAACGAGCGUGACGAUACACCAGCGAUACACAGCGUGUCUCAAACGUGACAUUUUUGAGCGAGACAUCAGCGAUAAUGAGCGUGACAAUACACCAGCGAUACACGGCGUGUCUCAAACGUGACAUUUUCAACCAAAUUUCACUGGUACUGGGCCAUACAUUUUUCAGGCCAUAAUUUUGUCUGGCCUGAUUUUGGCUGUAUUAUGGCUCCACAUUUAGGCCGGAAAUUAAGAAAUGCAAUCGCAUUUACGCAGACAAGUAAAAUAACACAUAUCUAUACACACAUACCAAGAUAGCACGCAAUUGACGCAAUGCUAUUAAAUCAUGUCAAAAAUAUAAAGCAACUUUUUAAAAAUUGAGUAAAUUAAAAAUCAUUGACAAUAGUUUACACUUCAAACUUUUGGAUAAAAUGCAUUUGUAAAGUUAGCUUUUGUUCAAGUAUUUUUAUGCAUAUUUUGCUUUUCCGUCAACAGCGAUUAAAUUACUUUUAUAUUUCAACUUUCAAGAUAAAACUACUUGAUUGAAAGAACAUCACGCUAUUGCAACAAGCUUUUGCUUAUACUAAAAGCCUUAUCGACUUGUUUUAACUAAUCUACAUUGACAUUAGGGGCAUUUAUAUGGGCGAAAUACAAAAAUAAGCUGCGGCUUUGAGAUGGACGUCGCGAGCGACUCAUGUAAACGGUCAAUUUGUCCGCAAGCGGCAGCUAAAAUAUUAAAGACAACAGGGUUGAAAGCUAGGCCUAAGUCACUAUUGGGGCCGCGGUUUCAGACUUAAUUUCGCCAUUGCAUUAUAUAUGACAAAUAUGAAAAUCGGAUUUUAAUUUCGGCCUUGAAUAUUUUGUAGGCUUUUCUACUCCAUCUAAAGUUUUUAUACCUAUAAAAAGAUUGUUCGCAAUGCAUGGUUUUGAAAGCGUAAAGGCCCAAAAAGACCGGAUGCGAUUCGGCAAUGCGACGUGAAUUUUCAAUGACAUUUACCUUUACUAUUUUUCUAUGUUUUUCAAAUAUUCUUAACCACUUAAGCAAUUUUAGCUAUUUGGUCUGCAUAUCUUGUAAAAUUUGUAUCCGUUGACGGUUUUAUUUGUUUUUAAAAUCUGAAAAUUCGCGUCGUGUUGUCGAAUCUCGUUCGGUCUGUGUGGGCCUUAAUAAUUACAUUUAAAGUAAAUUAUGUAUUGCGGUAUCACACGCAAAACUGUACAGAACAGGUAAACGUUGAGAUUAAUUACUUACAUUUAGAAGAAACUUGAAGACUGCAUGUCUCCAAUGCAUAUAUUGCCAACGCCUUGAAUCUCAAAAUCGCACAGAAACUUUGCGAGGGACACUAUCAUUUGACUUCAACGUCGCCUGGCUGAAGAAUUACCGAGAAUACAGUGCAAUAUAUAACGAUGAUCAUUGUUGAAAAUCCGCAACUUUUCCCUUGUUCGACCGACCGUGUAUGGUUCGCUGCUUGAAAGCGAUGCGUGUGUACAGCAAAAUAGAACUCAAAUUGCGCGCCUUGUCAUCCAAGACAAAACAAAUUAAGUUUUUAACGUAACGCUCUUGUCGUGCUCAGUUUCUUUCAAUUUUCGCCGGAUAUGAUAAUAAUCUCACAUUUUCAUGGCACGCAAAGGAAUUUCUGUUGCUUGUCUCGCUCUGCCUCGCUAUAUUAUCGUCCAUGUUUCGCUGUAAAAGCAGCGUGACAAUUGUCUCGGUUGAGGGAGACAAUUUGUCUUGUGAUGUCACGCUCAUUCAGGCCAAAUUCUCGGCCAUAAACAAGCGAUACAAAUGUCUUGUUCGUAACAGGCAGCAAGACAAAACCAAUGUCUGGUUGCGUCUCGCUCAAUUACCGCUGCUUUAAUUGGUUUAUGGCCAGAUUCUGGCCAGAAUCUCGCUCAGUCAGGCUGUAACUUUUCGUACGAGAUAUUAUAAAGCAAUUGCGUCCAUGUUGUAUCAGACAUACAGCCUUUAAGAGCUCUCACCUUUGACUCAAGUUUGUAUAUCUGAUACAACACUUCUGCUCAAUUGUGUUAUCUAUUACUUAGAAAACUAUCUGCAGAAACUCUAAUUUAAUGCAAUGUACCUUGAGAAUUGUCAUAUAUUUUAAACUUCUAAAAUUUCAUUCUCUAGUUAGCAAUGACUAGCUUCACAUUCGCCACAACGGCAACUCCCACUAGGUGAGUGUCAAUGUCCGGUUUACCUAGCUGUUUUCAGUUAGUGUGCGCCCCAAUGCACCUGCUUAAUGACAGGUGAUUUUGCUUGUCUUGACA
rnacentral:lncRNA from 1 species